AGUGAACGCUGGCGGUAGGCCUAACACAUGCAAGUCGAACGGCAGCACAGGAGAGCUUGCUCUCUGGGUGGCGAGUGGCGGACGGGUGAGGAAUACAUCGGAAUCUACCUUUUCGUGGGGGAUAACGUAGGGAAACUUACGCUAAUACCGCAUACGACCUACGGGUGAAAGUGGGGGACCGCAAGGCCUCACGCGAUUAGAUGAGCCGAUGUCCGAUUAGCUAGUUGGCGGGGUAAUGGCCCACCAAGGCGACGAUCGGCAGCUGGUCUGAGGGGAUGAUCAGCCACACUGGAACUGAGACACGGUCCAGACUCCUACGGGAGGCAGCAGUGGGGAAUAUUGGACAAUGGGCGCAAGCCUGAUCCAGCCAUACCGCGUGGGUGAAGAAGGCCUUCGGGUUGUAAAGCCCUUUUGUUGGGAAAGAAAUCCUGUCGAUUAAUACUCGGUGGGGAUGACGGUACCCAAAGAAUAAGCACUGGCUAACUUCGUGCCAGCCGCCGCGGUAAAAC
rnacentral:rRNA from 1 species